rnacentral:rRNA from 1 species
AGUGGACGCUGGCGGUAGGCCUAACACAUGCAAGUCGAACGGCAGCACAGUAAGAGCUUGCUCUUACGGGUAGCGAGUGGCGGACGGGUGAGGAAUACAUCGGAAUCUACUUUUUCGUGGGGGAUAACGUAGGGAAACUUACGCUAAUACCGCAUACGACCUACGGGUGAAAGCAGGGGAUCUUCGGACCUUGCGCGAUUGAAUGAGUCGAUGUCGGAUUAGCUAGUUGGCGGGGUAAAGGCCCACCAAGGCGACGAUCCGUAGCUGGUCUGAGAGGAUGAUCAGCCACACUGGAACUGAGACACGGUCCAGACUCCUACGGGAGGCAGCAGUGGGGAAUAUUGGACAAUGGGCGCAAGCCUGAUCCAGCCAUACCGCGUGGGUGAAGAAGGCCUUCGGGUUGUAAAGCCCUUUUGUUGGGAAAGAAAAGCAGCAGGUUAAUACCCCGCUGUUCUGACGGUACCCAAAGAAUAAGCACCGGCUAACUUCGUG